GAACGAACGCUGGUGGCGUGUCUUAUACAUGCAAGUCGAGCGAGGCAGCAAUGCCGAGCGGCGAACGGGUGAGUAACGCGUAAGCAAUCUGCCCCAUAUCAGGAAAUACCCGUGCCAACGCGCGGUUAAUGUCCAGGAGAGUGGCCCCCUGCAUGGGGGGUUGACUAGAGAUUUAUCGGUAUGGGAUGAGCUUGCGUCCGAUUAGCUAGUUGGCGGGGCAACGGCCCACCAAGGCGACGAUCGGUAGCCGGCCUGAGAGGGUGAUCGGCCACAUUGGGACUGAGAUACGGCCCAGACUCCUACGGGAGGCAGCAGUAGGGAAUAUUGCACAAUGGGGGAAACCCUGAUGCAGCAACGCCACGUGUGGGAAGAAGCAUUUCGGUGUGUAAACCACUGUCAUGAGGGAAUAAGGCCCUUAUUCGUAAGGGAUUGAAUGUACCUUGAGAGGAAGCACCGGCAAACUUCGUGCCAGCAGCCGC
rnacentral:rRNA from 1 species